GGGGGAUCAUGGCUCAGGAUAAACGCUGGCGGCGCACAUAAGACAUGCAAGUCGAACGGAAGUCGUUGUAAUGAUAUAGACAUGGACGGAGAACUUGUUCAAAGAAAGUGAAAGUUGACUUACAACAAUGGCUUUAGUGGCGGACUGGUGAGUAACACGUAAGCAACCUGCCUAUCAGAGGGGAACAACAGUUAGAAAUGACUGCUAAUACCGCAUAUGCCUAAGUAUCAC
rnacentral:rRNA from 1 species